UUUCAUAUAAUAGAAUAGAAGAGUAGAAAAGUUAUGAUGGUGGCUAUCCAAUCGGAAGAGAGGUGAUACGUAUGAACGUACUUCACUUCAAAAAUCUAAAGAAAGGGGAAGCCUCCUGUCUGCAUUUGAAACAAUUCAGACCAUUUUUAGUUUUAGUAUGUUUACCAUUACUUUAAUCGGUUUGAU
rfam:Melissococcus plutonius ATCC 35311 plasmid pMP1 DNA, complete genome.